rnacentral:misc_RNA from 1 species
GAUGAAGAACGCAGCGAAAUGCGAUACGUAAUGUGAAUUGCAGAAUUCAGUGAAUCAUCGAAUCUUUGAACGCAUAUUGCGCUCUUUGGUAUUCCGAAGAGCAUGCUUGUUUGAGUAUCAGUAAACACCUCAAAGCUUUUGGAUUUUUUAAUCGAAAAGCUUUGGAUUGAGCAAUCCCAACACCAAUCUUUUUGAGAUCGGUGGCGGGUUGCUUGAAAUGCAGGUGCAGCUGGACAUUCUCCUGAGCUAAAAGCAUAUUCAUUUAGUCCCGUCAAACGGAUUAUUACUUUUGCUGCAGCUAACAUAAAGGGAGUUUGACCGUAUUGGCUGACUGAUGCAGGAUUUCACAAGGGUCGGCAACGAUUCUUGUUAAACUCGAUCUCAAAUCAAGUAAGACUACCCGCUGAACUUAAGCAUAUCAAUAAGCGGAGGA